GUUGAACGCUGGCGGCAUGCCUUACACAUGCAAGUCGAACGGCAGCACGGGAGCAAUCCUGGUGGCGAGUGGCGAACGGGUGAGUAAUAUAUCGGAACGUGCCCAGUCGUGGGGGAUAACGCAGCGAAAGCUGUGCUAAUACCGCAUACGAUCUACGGCUGAAAGCGGGGGAUCGCAAGACCUCGCGCGAUUGGAGCGGCCGAUAUCAGAUUAGCUAGUUGGUGGGGGAAAGGCCCACCAAGGCGACGAUCUGUAGCCGGUCUGAGAGGACGACCAGCCACACUGGAACUGAGACACGGUCCAGAUUACUACGGGAGGGAGCAGUGGGGAAUUUUGGACAAUGGGCGAAAGCCUGAUCCAGCAAUGCCGCGUGCAGGAUGAAGGCCUUCGGGUUGUAAACUGCUUUUGUACGGAACGAAACGGCCCUUUCUAAUACAGGGGGCUAAUGACGGUACCGUAAGAAUAAGCACCGGCUAACUACGUGCCAGCCGCCGCAGUAAAAC
rnacentral:rRNA from 1 species